UGGAGGCAUGAGAAGGUUGAGCAGUCCCCUGUACUGCAUCAUACUGGUUAUAGCCUCCUAUACUAAUAAUGCAGAUGCUUAUUCACUUCCCCUUUGUGGUUAUGGGAGAGGACUUUAG